ACUGCUCAGUAACACGUGAUCAACUUACCCUAUAGAGGAAAAUAACCUCGGGAAACUGAGGAUAAUAUUCCAUAGUUGAAUCGGCUUGGAAAAGUUUUUCAAUAAAAGGGAUAAGGAAAAUGGUUCUUAUCUGCUAUAGGAUAGGAUCGUGCUCGAUUAUGGUUGUUGGUGAGGUAAAGGCUCACCAAGCCGAUAAUCGAUAGGGGCCGUGAGAGCGGGAGCCCCGAGAUGGGUACUGAGACAACGACCCAGGCCUUACGAGGCGCAGCAGGCGCGAAACCUCCGCAAUACACGAAAGUGUGACGGGGUUACCCAAAGUGUUCUAUUUAGAACUGUGGUAGGUGAGUAAUGUCCCCUACUAGAAAGGAGAGGGCAAGGCUGGUGCCAGCCGCCGCGGUAAAACCAGCUCUUCAAGUGGUCGGGAUAAUUAUUGGGCUUAAAGUGUCCGUAGCCGGUUUAGUAAGUUCCUGGUAAAAUCGGGUAGCUUAACUAUCUAUAUGCUAGGAAUACUGCUAUACUAGAGGGCGGGAGAGGUCUGAGGUACUACAGGGGUAGGGGUGAAAUCUUAUAAUCCUUGUAGGACCACCAGUGGCGAAGGCGUCAGACUGGAACGCGCCUGACGGUGAGGGACGAAAGCCAGGGGAGCGAACCGGAUUAGAUACCCGGGUAGUCCUGGCCGUAAACGAUGCAUACUAGGUGAUGGCACGGCCAUGAGCCGUGUCAGUGCCGUAGGGAAACCGUUAAGUGUGCCGCCUGGGAAGUACGGUCGCAAGGCUAAAACUUAAAGGAAUUGGCGGGGGAGCACCACAAGGGGUGAAGCCUGCGGUUCAAUUGGAUUCAACGCCGGA
rnacentral:rRNA from 1 species